GAAAAUUUGGAAGAGUGGGUGUGAUAUUUGUUUUUCCCUAGCCAUACACGUACCCCACCCCUAAAGUCAAUUUGACUUAUGUUUAUUUUGCUGCAUCUGAAGUCCAGCAGCUCACUUUCCUCUUUCUCUACUCCUUUCUCCCCUUUCUUUGUUCUUCUUUCCUCUUCCCUUCUUACACGGCAACAUCUCUCUUCCUUUCUCACCAAAAAUUCUAGUUUCUUUAAAGAAGGAAUUAAACAAUUAGCCUUAAGGUUUCAUCUUCCAAGUGUGUGGGUGUUAUCAGUAUCCAAAUCUGAGCUCCUUCGACUUUAGGCUCUCGGUUCCUCUGCUUUCAGAGAAGGAGACAGAGUUCGUACCCGCCACCGUCCGUUCCAUUGCCAGAAUUAUACCACUCAAAAACCGGCGCCGGUAACCUAAAGGUGCACACAGGAAUUGAGAUACGGACAUAGAGAGAACUACCACCGAAGAAGGAUUAUUAUAUAAGAAGAGAAAGCCAGUGGAGCAUACACAGGUCAAGAAGGGAGAAGGUUUUUAUGGUGAUUGGCUUUUUGAUUGUUGAGUGGAACCAUGAAGGCAAGCGGAUAUAGAAGAUGUCCAUGAGACCAAAUGUAAGAGAGAGUUUGAGAGACAAACAGCAUGGCAAGCAUUGGAGAUUUGUUGCCCAUCCAAAGAGAUUCACUAAAACUCCUUUUAGCCUAUUUUUCCCCGAAACCAAACACCCAAAAACCUUGAACCAAAGAGAGCCAUAAUAGGAACAACUGGUCAUGAGUCACAACCACAACCCAUCCAAGCAUCUACAAUGACAAGAAUAGAAGGUAUGAUAAUAAAUGAUUUUGUUCUUUUGAUUAAAUCUAUAGAGCCCAAAAGUUUAAUGUUUUCACCUUACAUUACACUUUGUAUUAAUGAGCAUCCUGCUUAAUCCUAGAUUUACAAGUUGAAUGAUGUCACUUCUCAUUAGAUGGGGAGUCCAUAUGCUUAUAGGUGGGCUUGGUAGGAAGCCAAGAAGGUGAGCAGCUAGGUGGAUUAAAAUUGUUUCUUUUUGAAACAUUGUUCAAUGCUGUAGACAGUGAGGAAUGCAUACUUUAAUGCUGCUAUAGUCAAAAGAUUUAAAAAAAAAAAACCAUAAUUCUUCUUUAGUUGAAUUAUUUUUAAUUAGCCUUCUCUUAUUAUGAUUUCCUGGGUAUGUCAUGUUUGUGUAUUUUUAAAGCCAUGUUAAAUGUUGUAUGCACAGAAUUGAUGUUUGAAGUGUAGUUAUUGGAAAUGGUUGCUGCACUUUUAGUUCUUUUAAUAGUGAUGAUCUAUGUGUUUGGUUUGAUUGAACAGGAAUGGCCAAAGAAAAUUAUGUAGUUUCUUUUCCAAAAAUUGUUGAAACAUAGUGAUGUGGGUACUUUUGGAAUAAUUACUAGCAAAAAUGUUUUCUCUAUGUCAUGCAACCAUGUCGUUAAUACAAUUUUUUUUUUUUUUAAAUUUCUUAUAAAAUCUUCAUGAAUAGUCUUUCAGUGGAUUUUGUGUAUAUAUAUAUAUAUAUUAUAUAGUCCAGUAUUAACAAAUUUGUUUUAAUUUUUUAUUUUGGUAGUUAACUUGGGACUGUUUUCAAUUGACAAGUAGAACAUUAACAAAUUUGUUAUUUGUUCUUUAUGAAAUGUAUACAUGUUAAUUGUGAUAUUUAUGUUGCAGAAGCUUACUUUAUUUGCUGCAAAUGACUAAAGCUGUUAUAUUGUAAAACUUAAAAUGAUUUCUCUUUUGGCCGAAAUUGUUAAAUUACCUACAGAUUAUAAUAUAUGCCAAAUAUAAUUGGCCAAUAUAGUUUGCUUCUGUAUUUGUUAAUUUUUUUUUAAUGCUUAAAUGAUCAAAGAUUGUAAUACAUUACAAAUUAUUGAAGGAGGCAUUAAUUUUCACUCAGACAUUUUUUAGGUCUAUUGCCAUUCUACAACACUACCUUAAAGUAUGAAUAAAGGUAAUCCUUCGCCAAGCCAAUUGUGGGAUUUAUUACUUAUCCUACCAUGUGCACCAAACGUGCUAAACUUUGUUAUUUUGCAUUUGAUAUCAGAAAUGUGCUUGAAACGUAUUUUUUUGGCUUUGGAUUAUUUAAAAGAUAUCUAACUUAAAUCUAUCUUAAUAUAUAGAGAUAAAAGCAGAAGCCUUUCCCUGCAAUUAAGGCCAUUGCAACAUGUAGGAAGCAUUUGGCAAGGGAAAGUGCUCACUUGGUUUUAAACAAAGCUCUCUCUCAAUGCAAGGAGUGUAGAUACUGAAAAAUUAUAGACAAUAGAAAUAGUAUUUGGAGAAGAUAAAGUAUUCAAAGAGGAUGAUCAACAUUGCUAUGCUGAAACUUGGGAAUAUGGUGUUGCAGAGAAGAAACAGAACAAAGAACCCUCCCACCACUGACCUGCCAGAACUGCAAACAGUUAAAACACAUAGGAAUGGAAUUAAAGUCGGUGACGUGACUAGCAUAAGAAGCAGGUACACUCUGCACCACUUAGCGGUGGCGCAUCCCAAGUGGAAACUGCAUCACAUCUCUUUGACUCACCAAACCCUCCCUUCAUCAAAGCCCCGCUGACUGCAAUGCUUAAUAGAAAACAUUUUUAGCUAGAAGUCCAGUAUUUCUUCUUUUCUUGGUUUGGAUGGAAUUGGAUUUUUUUGGUAGUUAUGGUUGUGACUCCUAUUUUGGUAGUUAACUUGGGACUGUUUUCAAUUGACAUGUAGAACAGUAACAAAUUUGUUAUUUGUUCUUUGUGAGAUGUAUACAUGUUGAUUGUGAUUUUUAUAUUGCAGAAGCCAUUAAGAGUAGGAAAGAAUCCUUAAAAUUGCUUCUAAUAUUGUUGCAUUUGGAUGAUUUAAAAGUUAUAUAGGCAUGGCUUUAUGCAUAAACUUGUGAUUUUUUUGCUGCUUUUGCAUGUUUGAGCUUUUGACAUCUGAUUUUUUGAGUGAAGAUAAUGGGAUUUUUCUCCUCAGUCUAUAUGUGUGUUUAAUUGUAAUAUAUGUGUUCCAAUUUUGGUAUUAUUCAAUUCUAAUAUAUGGGCGUUGCAUUGUGUUAAUCUUAUAGGAGUCUAACACUAAUCAUCUUGAAUGCCAUUUGAAUUUUUGGUACAUGUUAGUCUAUUGGUUAAAUAUUUUCGUAUUUUUAGCUUCUAUUGAGAGAUGAUGUCUUUAGGAAAUGUCUUUGAAAUUCCUAUACACAAUCUAUCUUUUUCUGAGUUAAUUAUUUUUUAAAGAUGAUGCUUAUUCCUAAAUCAGUUUAUGAUUCUUGAUGUGCAGAGUAUUUACAAAUAGAAUGUGCUAUAUAUAUAUAUAUAUAUAUAUAUGUUAUUCCAAAUGCUUGCUGAACAUUGAAUUUACAUUUUAAAUUAGUUUAGUCUUGGUUCCAUGAGCAUUCAACAUUACAGGCAUUCUUUUUUUGCUUAUACCCAAAAUUUUGUACAUGCAUGUGUUUGCUGCACCCAUACCCAGUUAGUGACAAAUAUAUUGAAUGAUUUGUGUUAAUAAUAAUCCUUUGAAGUUUAUAGAGUGCAUCAUAGUGCACCAUUCUCUAAUUUAUGUUGAUGUUACUU